rnacentral:rRNA from 1 species
AUGAAGAGAUCAUUAACUAGGCGAAAGGGAAGCCGGCAUGGGUUGUGCUGGUUUGAUCAGGUGAAAGGGAAGCUACAUCGUGCUGGAUGUGAUUGGAGCUUAUCCAUGCACGAAUGCAGAGCAGCUCUGGUGAAAGGGAAGCCUACUUUGACACUGCAACAUGAUCUGAAGUUGGGCAUUCUUUUAAAAAAAUUGUCAUCUAUCUAUCUGGCAAAGACAAAGUGUUGCUAUGUAGUCUGUACUUUGUGGAUUGGCAGUAAGCUUUGUUGUGUUGAGAAACGACGAUGUAUUGUAGCUGCUUGGAGACUAUCUUUUUCUAUGACAUACGUAUGUUUGUGCAAGUAA